ensembl:lncRNA novel transcript, antisense to COX11
UUAUUCCCAUAGACUACUUUUUAAUAGUGCUUUACACCUAAUGUAACAGAAUUUAUACUUUAACUUUUAAGUUACAUGAUAGUAAAAGUCAAUUUGGAACAAUGGAAAAUGCCAUGUUUUAUUAGAAUCAUAGUGUUAAAAUUAGUCCUCUGACAGUUUAAGUGAUGAAAGAAAGGAAUUUACAUUAAUAAAGUAAUCUUUUAAUG